rnacentral:misc_RNA from 1 species
UUGUGUUUUUUAAGUACUAUUUCCUUUUUGAUUUCUCCCAUUCUAUUUGAGCAUCAAAGGCACCCUUGCGAAUGAUCACAUCUGCAUCAACUCGUCCUCCAUUAUCCUAUCCAAUCUCUCCAAUGCAUCAUAGAUCUGCUCCUUGUAUGGAUGAGACUCAUCUUCAACUCCAAAUGAGUGGUGAGCACAAUCUACUUCAAUUGAAC